rnacentral:rRNA from 1 species
AUACGGAGGGUGCAAGCGUUACUCGGAAUCACUUGGCGUAAAGCGCGCGCAGGCGGCCAUUUAAGUUGGAUGUGAAAGCCUACGGCUCAACCGUAGAACUGCAUCCAAAACUAUUUGGCUAGAGUGUGGGAGAGGAAGAUGGAAUUAGUUGUGUAGGGGUAAAAUCCGUAGAGAUAACUAGGAAUACCAAAAGCGAAGGCAAUCUUCUGGAACACUACUGACGCUGAGGCGCGAAAGCGUGGGGAGCAAACGGGAUUAGAAACCCCAGUAGUCC